ensembl:lncRNA
AGCACUUGAAUAUGGAAGGCAUUCAGGUCCUUGGUUUUACUUCGUAUUACCAUCUGGUACCAUGGGCAACAAUAAAGUCUGGCCUGACAGUGACACCCUUGGAAGCUACAGAGAACUGGCUGGGAUCCAUCUUUGCAUUUAGCAGUUGGCAUGAAACUCUGGUGAUUUUAGCAAUGUAAUGAAGCACAAGAGGAACGAGCUGCGGUGGACACGUGUGACGUCACUUGGCUGAGCGAGAGAGGCACAGGGCCGCUCUGAGAACAAACGCUGAUGAAUGUGAACAGUGGAUUCAACACCAACUGAAAGACCAUCCAGAUGAGGUGGUAAAACACCCUUCUUUGUAUCUGCAGCGGCCCCUUGGCAUCAACAAGCAAAACAGAGAGUUUCUGAGAGGUGCUUUAACUUUUAUUUACCCCACAAUCAUCAUGUGCUAAACCUGAAUGCAUUGUGCAUCAUUUUUCACAUUUAAGUACUGUGAAACUAUACAGAGAGCAACAAAAUAAUACAACAGAUAAAAAUAUAGCAAAUGUGUAGUUUAUGUUAUGAAAAUACAAGCAAAAUAUUACAGCAAGUAAUUUGGAUGAAUAGAAUGAAAUUAUACAAAGACAUUCUUUAAGCAAGCACAGCAUUAUUAGCACAUAGCUUAUUCGUGUGUUACAGUAACAUUAAAGGAAUAGUUCACCGGAAAAUGAACUUUAACUGGAAAUGCACUUAUCCUCAGGCCAUCCAAGAUGUAGAUGAGUUUGGGAACAGAUUUGUUGAAAUGUAGAAUCAUGUGUAGUCACAAAGAAACAAACUCAGCUAACUCAUCUGGGUUGGCCUGAGGGUGAGCACUUUUUCUUUCUUGUGUGAAUUAUUCCUAUAAAUAACAAAUUUGUGUGUAACUCAUUCACUGUAUUUAAACGUUUAACCAUUUCUGUAGGAUUUUUAACCUCAGGAUCACGUUAGAUGCACAUUAUCCUUUGCACUGUGACUUGUCUGCAGCCUCGCUGAAAGUGUGGUAUGCAAAGGUAAACCAGUGACUGCAAAUGGUGAUUAUUUACAAUAACCCUAGUCACCAAAAGACAAACUGUAAAACUUCUACAAUGCUGUGUGUAAGUGUGUGCAUAUUUGCUUUUAUGUUGGAUAAUUAGUUCAAAUUAUGAAGAAGCAUCAUCCUUCAUUGUAUUAUGACACAUACAGAGUACUGUGGGAUAGCU